AGCGGGACUGGACCUGGGUGCCGAGCGGAGCCGCUGCCAUGGGCCUGGGCGUCAGCGCUGAGCAGCCCGCAGGCGGCGCCGAGGGCUUCCACCUCCACGGGGUGCAGGAGAACUCCCCAGCCCAGCAGGCGGGCCUGGAGCCCUACUUUGACUUCAUCAUCACCAUUGGGCACUCGAGGCUGAACAAGGAGAAUGACACCCUGAAGGCACUACUGAAAGCCAAUGUGGAGAAGCCCGUGAAGCUGGAGGUGUUCAAUAUGAAGACCAUGAGGGUGCGCGAGGUGGAGGUGGUGCCCAGCAACAUGUGGGGCGGCCAGGGCCUACUGGGUGCCAGUGUGCGCUUCUGCAGCUUCCGCAGGGCCAGUGAGCAGGUGUGGCAUGUGCUGGAUGUGGAACCAUCUUCACCUGCUGCCCUUGCCGGCCUGCGCCCCUACACAGACUAUGUGGUUGGUUCGGACCAGAUUCUCCAGGAGGUGAGGAACCCGCAAUUUGCCCCUCCCCAGACCCUCUGGAUGUGGUGUGAAGAGAAGGGUGCUGUCCAUGAGAAGUGUCUGGUUUUGUUGAGGCUUUAGCCCUGGAAGCAGGCCUCAGGUGCUAUGCGUUUCUCACAGUCCGAGGACUUCUUUACGCUCAUCGAGUCUCAUGAGGGGAAGCCCUUGAAGCUGAUGGUGUAUAACUCCAAGUCAGACUCCUGCCGGGAGUCUGGGAUGUGGCAUUGGCUAUGGGUAUCUACACCGGAUCCCAACUCAGCCCCCCAGCUACCACAAGAAGCCACCUGGCACCCCACCACCUUCUGCUCUACCACUUGGUGCCCCACCACCUGAUGCUCUACCACCUGGACCCACCCCCGAGGACUCUCCUUCCCUGGAGACAGGUUCCAGGCAGAGUGACUACAUGGAGGCCCUGCUGCAGGCACCUGGCUCCUCCAUGGAGGAUCCCCUUCCUGGGCCUGGGAGUCCCAGCCACAGUGCUCCAGACCCUGAUGGACUUCCCCAUUUCAUGGAG
rnacentral:sRNA from 1 species